AUUGAACGCUGGCGGCAGGCUUAACACAUGCAAGUCGAACGAUGAUUAUCUAGCUUGCUAGACAUGAUUAGUGGCGGACGGGUGAGUAACAUUUAGGAAUCUGCCUAGUAGUGGGGGAUAGCUCGGGGAAACUCGAAUUAAUACCGCAUACGACCUACGGGUGAAAGGGGGCGCAAGCUCUUGCUAUUAGAUGAGCCUAAAUCAGAUUAGCUAGUUGGUGGGGUAAAGGCCCACCAAGGCGACGAUCUGUAACUGGUCUGAGAGGAUGAUCAGUCACACCGGAACUGAGACACGGUCCGGACUCCUACGGGAGGCAGCAGUGGGGAAUAUUGGACAAUGGGGGCAACCCUGAUCCAGCCAUGCCGCGUGUGUGAAGAAGGCCUUUUGGUUGUAAAGCACUUUAAGCAGGGAGGAGAGGCUAAUGGUUAAUACCCAUUAGAUUAGACGUUACCUGCAGAAUAAGCACCGGCUAACUCUGUGCCAGCAGCCGCGGUAAUACAGAGGGUGCGAGCGUUAAUCGGAAUUACUGGGCGUAAAGCGAGUGUAGGUGGCUCAUUAAGUCACAUGUGAAAUCCCCGGGCUUAACCUGGGAACUGCAUGUGAUACUGGUGGUGCUAGAAUAUGUGAGAGGGAAGUAGAAUUCCAGGUGUAGCGGUGAAAUGCGUAGAGAUCUGGAGGAAUACCGAUGGCGAAGGCAGCUUCCUGGCAUAAUAUUGACACUGAGAUUCGAAAGCGUGGGUAGCAAACGGGGUUAGAUACCCUGGUAGUCCACGCCGUAAACGAUGUCUACUAGCCGUUGGGGUCCUUGAGACUUUAGUGGCGCAGUUAACGCGAUAAGUAGACCGCCUGGGGAGUACGGCCGCAAGGUUAAAACUCAAAUGAAUUGACGGGGGCCCGCACAAGCGGUGGAGCAUGUGGUUUAAUUCGAUGCAACGCGAAGAACCUUACCUGGUCUUGACAUAGUGAGAAUCCUGCAGAGAUGCGGGAGUGCCUUCGGGAAUUCACAUACGGGUGCUGCAUGGCUGUCGUCAGCUCGUGUCGUGAGAUGUUGGGUUAAGUCCCGCAACGAGCGCAACCCUUUUCCUUAUUUGCCAGCGGGUUAAGCCGGGAACUUUAAGGAUACUGCCAGUGACAAACUGGAGGAAGGCGGGGACGACGUCAAGUCAUCAUGGCCCUUACGACCAGGGCUACACACGUGCUACAAUGGUAGGUACAGAGGGUUGCUACACAGCGAUGUGAUGCUAACCUCAAAAAGCCUAUCGUAGUCCGGAUUGGAGUCUGCAACUCGACUCCAUGAAGUCGGAAUCGCUAGUAAUCGCAGAUCAGAAUGCUGCGGUGAAUACGUUCCCGGGCCU
rnacentral:rRNA from 1 species